ensembl:lncRNA
GAGGAGCCGGUGUCCCAGAAGUCCUCUUCAACAGCUGUUAUCUAAUUGGUCCCUUGGGGGGUGGGUCACAUCACAACCGUCCUGCUCCCAGCCAAUCAGAGGCCUCGGCAGCAGUUCACCGGGACCCCUGGGGUCCUUGUUUACGGGUGUCGAGACGUUGCCGUGGGCGACCGGGAGCCACGCCCCAUGGUCCCAGGUGUGAGUGGAGGGUGAAACACCUGACAUCAGGUAGCACAGCAUCACACGGAGACCAGCAGGAGAGAGGUAGGGACACCUUAACGAUAACUACCCUGUUAGCGGAACCUGUUAACUAUAACUACCCUGUUGGCUGAACCCGUUAACUAUAACUAACCUGUUGAACCUGUAUUCUACUAACCACUCUGUUAACUGAACCAUCUAUAACUAACCUGUUAGCUGAACCUAUAUUCUACUAACCACUCUGUUAACUGAACCAUCUAUAACUAACCUGUUAGCUGAACCUGUAUUCUACUAACUACCCUGUUAGCUGAACCCUCUAUAACUAACCUGUUAGCUGAACCUGUAUUCUACUAACCACUCUGUUAACUGAACCAUCUAUAACUAACCUGUUAGCUGAACCUGUACUUUACUAACUAACCUGUUAGCUGAACCCUCUAUAACUACCCUGUUAGCUGAACCUGAUAACUAGCUAACCUGUAAGAUGAACCUCUGGUUUAUCUCAGCCUGUUCCCAAUGCAGACUGUAGAGUCAGAGUGUGUAGAGUCAGAGUGUGUAGAGUGUAGUGUAUCUGAUAGUGUGUAGAGUCAGAGUGUGUAGAGUCUGAGUGUGUAGAGUCAGAGUGUGUAGAGUCAGAGUGUGUAGAUCAGAGUGUGUAGAGUCUAGUGUGUCUGAGUGUGUAGAGUCAGAGUGUGUAGAGUCUAGUGUUUCUGAGAGUGUGUAGAGUCAGAGUGUGUAGAGUCAGAGUGUGUAGAGUCUAGUGUGUCUGAGAGUGUGUAGAGUCAGAGUGUGUAGGGUCUGAUUGUGUAGAGUCUGAGUGUGUAGGGUCUGAUUGUGUAUAGUCUGAGUCUUCUGGUGUGUGCAGUGUCUGGUGUGUGUCAGUGUGUAGUGUCUGGUGUGUGUCAGUGUGUAGAGUCUGGUGUGUGUCAGUGUGUAGUGUCUGGUGUGUGUCAGUGUGUCUGUCUGAGUGUAGUGUCUGGUGUGUGUCAGUGUGUAGAGUCUGGUGUGUGUCAGUGUGCAGAGUGUAGUGUCUGGUGUGUGUCAGUGUGUAGAGUCUGGUGUGUGUCAGUGUGUAGUGUCUGGUGUGUGUCAGUGUGUAGAGUCUGGUGUGUGUCAGUGUGUAGAGUCUGGUGUGUGUCAGUGUGUAGUGUCUGGUGUGUGUCAGUGUGUAGAGUCUGGUGUGUGUCAGGGUGUAGUGUCUGGUGUGUGUCAGUGUGUAGUGUCUGGUGUGUGUGUCAGUGUGCAGAGUGUGUAGUGUCUGGUGUGUGUCAGUGUGUAGAGUCUGGUGUGUGUCAGUGUGCAGAGUGUAGUGUCUGGUGUGUGUCAGUGUGUCAGUGUGUAGUGUCUGGUGUGUGUCAGUGUGCAGUGUAUAGUGUCUGGUGUGUGUCAGUGUGUAGUGUCUGGUGUGUGUCAGUGUGUAGAGUCUGGUGUGUGUCAGUGUGCAGUGUAUAGUGUCUGGUGUGUGUCAGUGUGUAGUGUCUGGUGUGUGUCAGUGUGUAGUGUGUAGUGUCUGGUGUGUGUCAGUGUGUAGUGUGCAGAGGGCGGCGUGCGGCGGGCUGAUGUUGCCGCGUGUGAGGGUGGGCUGUGAGCCAACACGGUGGUCAGACACGUGGUCACAUGACCGCAGACC